GAAAUGUGGUAUAUACAUACAAUGGAAUAAUACUCAGCUGUAAAAAAAAAAAUGAAGUUCUGAUAUAUGCUAUGACAUGGAUGAAUCUUGAAAACGUUAUGCUGAGUGAAAUAAGUCAGACACAAAAGGACAUUUAUUGUAUGACCCCACUUACAUGAAAUAUCUAGAAUAGGCAAAUGAAUAGAGGCAAAAGAUUAUUCAUGGUUGCCAGGGACUGUGGGGAGGGAAAAAUGGAGAGUUAUUGCUUAAGCGAUAGUGAGUUUCUGUUUAAGGUAAUGAAAAAAAAAUGAGAAAAAGGAUAGCAGCGAUGUUUGCACAACAUGGUGAAAUGUAAUUAAUGUCACUGAAUUGCACACUUAGAAACAGUUAAAAUGGCACAAUUAAAAAAAAUUAAAUGGUGAGGUGCGGGGACGUUGAAGUGGGGAAAAAUUAAAGGCUGCAAACAAUAAGUGAGGAAAACAAAAUUCACCAAUGUUAAAUCAAUCUUAAACACUUGCUAUUCAACAAAAUAAAUAAAAUUAUCUUUAAAGUCAACAGAUAAAUAACAACAAGCAGAGAGUGGGAAUGGCCACAUCAGAAGCAGAGUCAGGGUCCAAACACAUCUCUUCAGACAGAGAAAAGGUCCCGAUCCAAAAAGUCAAAAACUGAGCAGGAUAAAUGUUAUAUCCCAAAACCCCUCCAAUGUAUGACCACCAUCAGUGUGACAUAGCGGCCAAAAACAAAUGUAACAGGUAACCAUUUAAAAAAUGCUAAAAAAAAUACUUGCUAUUAAUUACAGUAUUAGUCACUGGGGCAGGACAGGACCCAGCCUGAAGCCCUGGUGGUACAGCAGUUAAGCUCUCAGCUGCUAACCAAAAGAUCAUCAGUUCGAACCCACCAAUUGCUCCAUGGAAGAAAGAAUGUGGGAGUCUGCUCCUGAAAAGAUUUACAGCCUUGGAAACCCUAUGGGGCAGUUCUACUCUGUCCUAUAGGGUCGAUAUGAGUUGAAAUCCACUUGAGGGCACACAACAACAACAACACCCAACCUGUGGUUAAGCUCUUGGCUAAGUGAAAGGUUGGCAAAUCAAACACACCCAGUGGCUCUGCGGGAAAAAGACCUGCCAAACUGCUUCUGUAAAGACUACAGCCAAAAAAACCCUGUGGGACCAUUCUACUCAGUCACAUGGGGCCUAACUGUUCCUAACCCAAUUUAAAUUCCAUAGUCAGUCAUUAUCACCACUCCCUCCUAUGCACCCUCCAAUUCUUGUUCUUCUCUUGAUUGUACUUGCCUGGCAAAAACAUCAAGUCUUCUUAAAUCAGACUCUUUUUGACUCUUUCAUCCCUGAAUUUAUACAACUAAAAACAGCUAGAGAAAAGCAUACAACCAUGCUGACUAGUCUCACUUGAAUCUAUGAUCCCUAACAUCAAACAACAAACAUCAAAUAGGCCUUUUGUGCUGCCAGGCAAUUAUACUGUUUCCCUGCUUCAUUCUCGCACUCUCCUAGACAACUAGCAGAUGAAGUCAGGAAGUGAUGGAGGGCAUCAACCUUCCAAUAAUUCUUCACCCAUCUUCACUUGAGGCUUCCUUAUUGAGAAAACAGAAGACAAUUGAAGAAUAUUUCCAUACACUUCCACCAUGACAUCUACCUACUGCCCCACUGGGUUUCCAAGGAACAACUGGUGGAUUCGAACUGCCAACCUCUUGGUUAGCAGCCAAGUUCUUAACCACUGUGCCACCAUGGCUCUCUACCUACUGUAGACACCCCCAAAGUCCUAAAUAGGCUGUGCUGGGCCAGCUGAAAGAGGUCAACUUGAGGUCAGCAACAAGAAACCUCCCCUAAAGCAAAAUUCCUUAAAGACCAAAUUUCCAGAUGUCCUUUGAUAUACGGCACGGCCUUAAUAACUCCAUUUUUACAACUGACUGGCCUUGAAACCCUUCACAUGCUCUCGUUCUAUCUCCCGAGAAACUAACAUGAAAGGAAUUUACAAUGGCCUUCAGGAGACUGCCCUGCCUGGACGCCAAUACUUUAAAUUCUUAAGAACUGACCACCAUGAGGACUGACGCACAUGAUUUUUGACAAAAGGUAUAAUGCUAUAUCCAAAGCACACCCAGUGAAGAUCUGUUACGUAUACAGUCUGCUUUCACUAUCUCCUCUUCAGAUUGCCUUCGAUAUACUUUUGGUUUAAAGUUGCCUGAUUCUAAUAGUGCCUACUCACAAGAAGAAUAUUCAGUUACUAAUUUCUGGUGUUUCUCCACGUGUUCAGGUUUUUGAUGCUACCUACCUACACCUGUGCCCUAUUCUAGGAGAAUUGACUGUGCUUCUAGCAAAUGACUAUUUCUCUAUGCAUUGUUAUUGUUGUGUGCGUCAAGUUGAUUCCGUCUCGUAGAGACUCCAUGUGACAGAUUAGAACUGCCCCAUACGGUUUCCUAAGCUGUAAUCUUCACAGGAGCAGAUUGCCAGGUCCUUUCUCCUGUGGAGUAGCUGGUGGGUUCAAACUUUCGGUUAGCAGCAGAGCACUUAACCACUGUGCCACCAGGGCGCCUUACUUAUGCACUAAACUGAAAAAAUUCACACUUGUUGCUGUCAAGUCAACCCUAUAUGACAGAGAAGAAACUGCCUCAUAGGGUUUCCAAGGAGCAGCUGGUGAAUUCGAACUGCCAAUCUUUUUAGUUAGCAGAGCCAGACUUCUUAACCACCAAGCCACUUAAACACUAACCAAAACCAAAAAACCAAACCCAGUGCUGUCGAGUCGAUUCCGACUCAUAGCGACCCUAUAGGACAGAGUACAACUGCCCCAUAGAGUUUCCAAGGAGCGGCUGGUGGAUUCAAACUGCUGACCCUUUGGUUAGCAGCUGUAGCACUUAACCACUACACCACCAGUGUUUCCACUUAUGCACUAAAAAAAAAAAAAUGACCCUGCUCCAGCAAUCCUCUCACCUUUCUCCCUGCUUUAAGAAAUUCCUUCUCUACUGGAUUUUUCCCCAUCAGAUUACAAACAUGUUAUUUCUCCCAUCUAAUAGGCAAAACAACACUCUCUUGAGCCCACUUUUCACUCCAGCUACUGUGCCAUUUUUUCAGGAAAAUUUCUUUUUCUCUCCUCUCACUGUCUUGACCCAUUCAUUGAAACACUCAGUCUGCAUCUUACUUGACCCAUCAACAGCAUUCCAUAGUCUUGAAACAUUUUCUCCAGUGAUAUUCCAGGACACCAUACUCUCCUCAAUUUUUUUCUCACCUUACUAUCCACUUCUCCUUAGUCUCCUUUGCUAGUACCUUUUCAUCUUUCCUAUCAUUAAAAAAUAAAAUCUUGUGUCAGAUCAAAAGAAUAACACAAUAUUUGAUUUCUCUAUUACUUCAUAAACAAUUUUCAAAUUCCGGCAACAUUUCCCUCAUGCAAGAGGAACUCCCUUUCAGAGAAUGAAGAAUUCACAGAGAUUUUAAAAAUUUUUGCUUGAUGAAUACCAGUCUCCAUGGUGAUGAAGUACUUAAUGGUUACUGAGUUACCAUUAAAAAGAGAUUUCUGGAAAUUUGCCCCUUUACCCAUUGUUAGCUAUGAGACCUCUUGAAACUAAAAUUUGGAGAAGCCCAGAGACUUUUUCAUUAAAUCACAAGGUAAUGGUUUUGUUAUUGACUGUUCUUUGAAUAGGAAAGAAAAGUCAAUUAGCAACUUUGGGUGAAAAAAACAGGCCAGUGAAGCUGCAGGCAAGAACAAUUGUGGGUCAAGAAUUUUUAUGUUUAUGGACAAGAAAAGCCUCUUGAAAUUAAAGUAAAAUAGUUUUAAUAAGAGCUUUAUUCCACAAUCUCUUCAACAUUAGAUUUCUCCAGGGCUCAGUUCUUAGAACUUUUCACUUUUCUAUCUAUUCUCAUUUCAAAGGUGAUCUCACCUAGCUUCAUAAAUUUAAAGACCAUCUGCAGGGCCCAAAGACCAUCAAAUGGGGAAAAGACAGUCUUUUUAACAAAUGGUUCUGGCAAAACUGGAUGUCUAUCUGCAAAAAAAUGAAACAGGAUCCAUACCUCACGCCAUACACAAAAACUAAUUCAUUAUGGAUCAAAGACCUAAAUAUAAAGCCAAAAACUAUGAAGUUCAUAGAAGAAAAAAUAGGAUAAACGCUAAAGGCCCUAAUACAGAGCAUUGAUAGGAUGCAAACCACAACCAACAACACACAAACUCCAGAAGAUAAGCUAAAAAACUGGGGUCUUCUAAAAAUUAAAUACUUAAUGCUCAUCAAAAGGCUUCACCAAAAGAGUAAAAAGAGAACCUGCAGACUGGGAAAAAAAUUUUGGCUAUCACAACUCAGACAAAGGUCUAAUCUCUAAAAUCUACAAGAAAAUCCAACACCUGUACAACAAAAAGACAAAUAAUCCAGUUAAAAAAGGGGCAAAGGAAAUGAACAGACACUUCACCAAAGAAGAUAUUCAAGCGGCCAACAGACACAUGAGGAAAUUCUCGUGAUCACUAGCCAUUAAAAAAUUAGAGAAGUGCAAAUCAAAACCACAAUGGGAUACCAUCUCGCCUGGCAUUACUGGCAUGAAUCAAAAAAACAGGAAAUAACAAAUGUUGGAGAGGCUGCGGGGAAGUCGGAACACUUACGCACUGCUGGUGAGAAUGCAAAAUGAUACAACCAUUUUGGAAGAUGACACAGUGCUUCCUUAGGAAGCUAGAAAUAGAAAUACCAUAUGAUCUAGCAACCCCAUUCCUAGGAAUAUAUCCUACAGAAAUAAGAGUCAUCACGCUAACACAUAUGCACACCCAUGUUCAUUGCAGCAUUUUCCACAAUAGCAAAAAAAUGGAAACAACCUAGAUGCCCUUCAACAGAUGGACAGAUAAACAAACUAUGGUACAUACACAUGAUGGAGUAUUAUACAACUAUAAAGAACAACAAUGAAUCUGUGAAGCAUCUCAUAGCAUGGAUGCAUCUGGAGGGUAACCUGCUGAGUGAAAUAAGUCAAUCACAAAACUACAAAUACUGUACGAGACCACUACUGUAAAAACUCAUGAAAAGGUUUACACACAACAAGAAACAGUCUUUGAUGGGGGAUGGGAAAACACUAAAUAGACAAUAGAUAAGUGAUAACUGGUGAAGAGUAAGACAGUACACAAUACCGGGGAAGCCAGCAAAACUUGUACAAGGCAAGGUCAUGGAAGCUCCCUGAGGGAUGGGAUUGCUGGGCUGAGGGCUGUGGGGACCACGGUCUCGGGGAACAUCUAGCUCAACUGGCAUAACGUACUUUAUAAAGAGAAUGUUCUACAUUCCACUUUGAUGAGUAGUGUCUGGGGUCUUAAAAGUCCAUGAGUGGCCAUCUAGGAUAUUCCACUGGUCUCACCCCUUCAGGAGCAAGGAAUAAUGAAGAAAACUAAAGAUACAAGUGAAAGAUUAGUCCAAAAGACUAAUGGACCACAUCUACCAUGACCUACACCAGACUGAGUCCAGUACAACUAGAUGGUGCCUGGCUACCACCACUGACUGCUCUGACAGGGAUCACAACAGAGGGUCCUGGACAGAGCUGGAGAAAAAUGUUGAACAAAAUUGUAACUCAACAAGAAAGACCAGACUUGCUGGCCUGAUGGAGUCUGGAGAAACCCUAAGAGUAUGGCCCCCGGACACCCUUUCAGCUCAGUAAUGAAGUCACUCCUGAGGUGCACCCUUCAGCAAAAGAUUGGACAGGCCCAUAAAACAAAACGAGACUAAAGGGCACACCAGCCCUGGGGCAAGGACUAGAAGGCAGAAGGGGACAGGAAAGCUGGUAACAGGGAACCCAAAAUUGAGAAGGGAGAGUGUUGACAUGUCGUGGGGUUGUUAACCAAUGUCAUAGAACAAUGUGUGUACUAAUAUGUGUAAACCUUCAUCUAAAGUGCAAUAAAAAAAAAAAAUACCAUCUGCAGGCUUUUUUAUAUCUUGCAAUGGUUAAGCACUCGGCUGCCAACCAUUAGGUUGGCAGCUUAAACCCACCAAGUUACUCCAUGGGAGAAAGACCUAGUCAUCUGCUUCCAUAAAAAUUGUUAUUGUUCUUGUUUUUAGGUGCCAUCAAAUUUGUUCCCACUCACAGCAACAACAACAGAACAAAACACUGCCUGGUCCUGAGCCAGUCUCACAAUCUUUAUGCUUGAACCCAUUCUUGCAGCCACUGUGUCAAUCCAUCUCUUUGAGGGUCUUCUUCUCUUUCACUGACCCUGUAGUUUACUAAGCAUGUUGUCCUUCUCCAGGGACUGGUCCCUCCUGAUAACAUGUCCAAAGUAUGUGAGAUGAAGUCUCACCAUCCUUGCUUUUAAGGAGUAUUCCGGCUGUAUUUCCUUCAAGACAGAUUUGUUAAUCUUUUGGCAGUCCAUGGUAUAUUCAACAUUCUUCACCAACACCAUAAUUCAAAGGUGUCAAUUCUUCUCCUGUCUUCCUUAUUCAUUGUCCAGCUUUCACAUGAAUGUAAGGCGAUUGAAAAAGCCAUAACUUGGGUCAGGCACACCUUAAUCCUUAAAGUGACAUCUUUACUUUCUAACACUUUAAAAAGAUCUUUUGCAGCAGAUUACAGCAGAAUCCAUAAAGAUUACAGCCAAGAAAACAGUAUGCAGCAGUUAGUUCUACUCUCUCAAAAGGGAUCACUAUGAGUCGGAUUCAACUCCCCAACACCCAACAACAACAGUCCCACUGAGACAGAGUCCCCCGCAGUAUUACAUUAAAAAUCCUGUUUCCUUUGCUGGGCUUCCUCCCCUCCAGCUUUGCAUUUGAAUCCAGCUUUUGCUUGGAGGUUAUACACAAACCCCAUUGCACCUGUGUAGUAUAUGAUUAAGAAUGUUGCUGACAUAACUUGUAUGAACUCCUUACUUGUGAACCCCUUAAAAGUAACUUGUCUGCCUGCUCUUGGGAAGCACUCUUGGCAGCAGCAGCGCAGACUGGCUCCUUUUCCUUGUACAAUGAUAUAACGAUGCUUUUCCUGUUCUUGCACCUCGGUCUCUUGUUUAUUGGCCAAUAUGAGUCAUGCUGAACAAGAACCUGGAGUUCCACCUGUUGACACCACUUAGCCACUAACCUCCAUUCUUCUUUAUCCAGCUGCCUCAAGACAUCUCCACCUGAAUGUCUGUCUAGUAGGCAUCUCAUAUUUAAUUCUUCCAAACCUGAACCCCCAAUCUUUCCCAGUAACUCAGGCUGAAAUUCCUCAAGUCUUCCUUUUUCUAAGACCUCAUCUCCUAGCUGUCAUUUUAUGCUAUGUGCUCUCUGUUGGCUACAUCAUUUCUAUCACCCUGGUUCAGAUCACCAUCAUCUCUCAUCUAAACUACUGCAAUAACAUCCUAAUCGAUAUCCCUGCUUCCUCUCUUGUUCUUUUCAAUUUAUUCUUAACGCAGAGUGAUCCUUUUCAAACUGCAGUCACAGCAUAUCAUUUCCAAACCACUCCCAGUAGAAGUUAGGGUCAUUAAAAUGUCCUUUAAAGCCUUACAUAAUCCCCACACACACACACACCACCUUUACUUCUCUGAUCUCAUUUCCUACUAAUUUUUUCUUCACUCCUUCAGCUCCAGCCAUACUGCCUCUCUGCUGUUCUUUUAACAUGACAAACACAUCCCCACUUCAGGGCCUUUUCACUGGCUAUUUCCACUCUCUGGAAUGGUAUCGUUCCAGAUAUUCAUAUGGCUAAUCUCUCACCUUCUAGUUUUUCGCUCAUAUGUCAUGGUUGGGGCUGGAGAUACAGAUUUGGGAGCCAUUUGCAUUUGCAUAGCAGCUGAAGCCAUGGUAUUGGUGAGAUCAAACAAGGACUGUGUGUAUGAUGAAAAGAGAAGAUGACCAAGUACAGAGCCCUGGGAAACAUUACUGAGGAAAAGAAUCCCAACAGAAGAAAAAAAAAAGCAUUGACAGAGAGAGCACAGUCGUGAGGCCUGGAGAACCAGCAACCAUUUGGCAAUCUUGAGGCAACAAGUUGUAGAAAUAAAAUCAACAUGUUAAGGAUGCCAGAGCGGAAAUGUAAAAGAAUUUGGAUUCCUAAGUGUCUUCUUGAGCUGCUGCACCGCGUCAAGACUGUCCUACCCUAGGGUUCUCAUUAUUUGAGCCAAACGAACCCUUAUUUAUGUAAGACAUAAUUUUUGCAUUUUCUGGUAAUUUGCAAUCAAGUGCAUUCAUACCUGAAACAGAGGCCAGGGUAGGUAGCUGUGUUAGCCACAAUUCUUUGGGUUGCAAGAAAUAAAGAUAUAAUAAAUUAAUGUUAGAAAAGAAAAAGAGAUGGGAGAGGGUUUAUUGGCUUGUAUAACUGGAAAGUCCAAAAGCUUUAGGCCCAGCAGGAUCUAUGGUUCAAAUAAUGUCGUAAAGAUGUCAUUUGUCUUCAUCUUUCAGUUCUUCUUGCCUCUGAUUGACUUAACUCUCUCCCAGAUCUCUAAAUAUGAUGGUACCUCCAGCAACUCCCUUCUUUCAUAUUCUUUACAGCUAACGACUCCAUAGGCAGACCCUGACCCUUUCCCUCACAGUGUACAUAUCAAUCCCCCACAAGAAUUGCCUGGUCAGCUUGGGUCAGGAGUCCACACAUAUGGUGGGUGUUAUUAGGCCACAUAACCAACAGCCCCACUAACACUUUGUGCAGUGGAAGAAGCGCAGUUCCCAAAAGACAUGGAUGUUCAACAUGAAGAAAAGUAAUAGUUGUCAGCUAUAGUAGAAAAACAAAGCGGGUACAGAAAGGAGGCUAAUAAGCUGAGAGAAAAUGAGUUAUUGUACUAGAGAUAUUAUUGAGGCUUAUAAUUUGUGUGGAGAAAGGACACAAGAUAUAAAUGGAUAGGAAUUUGUGCUUAAAAGGUAAGAUAUAGAACUUCAAUAUCUCAGAAGGGUGAAACAGUUCUAGAUACUGUAAGUAAUGUAUAUAUAAUGUAAUACCUAGAAAAACAAUUUAAAAAGUCACGCAAAGAGAUAUGCUCAAAAGCAUUGUAGACAAAUCAAAAUUCAAUAGACGUGUUAAAUACCAGAUUAGAUUCAUCUGAAUGGAGGGUCAUGAACUGGAAGACAGACUAAUUUAAUCAUUAAAAAAAUUAAAAAAACAGCAAAUACUUACUGCAUAUUUACUACGUGCAAGAUAUUCUUCCAAGGGAUGAGGAAAUUGUAGAGAAAAAAACAGUCCCUGCCUUCAUGGAACUAGUAAGCAGAGAUGGAAGUCAAUUAAAUAAAUAUUAAUUAUAUAAUUUAAACCAGGAGGAAAAUUUGUCAUUUUAAAUAUAUAUGAUUGAAAAGUAGGAUUAAAAGUUAAUAAUCUAAGUAUUCAAUGUAAAUAUUUGGAAAUAAAAUAGAGUAAACCUAAAGAAAAUAGUUGGAGUCCUGGUGGCACAACAGUUAAGCUCUUGGCUACUAGCUGAAAGAUUGGCGGUUUGAACACACCUAGCUGGGUUGGGUUAGUGGCUCUGCAGGAGAAAGACCUGGCACUCUGUUCCCGUAAAGCCUGGAAAACUCUAUGGGGCAGUUCUAUUCUAUCACUGGGAUCGCUAUGAGUCGAAAUUUUGCACCCUGACAGCACCUGAAAACAACGAUAACAAAGAAGACAGAAGAGCAUUGUAAGUAAAAAUCAUUAAAAUAUACCACAGACCAUUACAUUUAGAGAGCUAUAGAAUAAUCUAAGUGUAAGGCAACGAAAACCCAAUGGAUCACAACACUCCGAUUCCACUGUGCAUGGGUUUGCCAUGAGUUAGGGCAGACUUGACAAAAAACAACAACAAAAGUGGUAAGAAUAAAAAUGGAGGGACAAAGCAACAUCACUAAGGAAACACUGACAGGAUUUCAAAACUGAUAGUGUGUGGGAAACAAGGAAGUUACUCAAAGAUGACUCAAUGGCCUCAUACUUGGGUGAUUACGAUAUAAAAAUAGAAACUUGAUAGUGUGGAGAAGGUGCUGGCUUGAAAGAAUACAUGAGUUUGUUUGGAAAUAAAUGUAAAAUGAGGUUAAAGCAGAAAAAAAAAAUUUUUUUUUUUUUUAAAAAAAGCAGAACAUGAAGUGAAAAACAAUAGAAGCAUAAUUUAUACUUCUUGUUAAAAUUCAAACAACUCAGACAAAUUGGGAAGGUGGUUACAGAUGGUUUUUUAAAACUCAAAUGUACUCAACCCACCUGGAUCAAAGGAGAAUGAAGAACACCAAUGUCACAUGGUAACUAUGAGCCCGAGACAGAAAGGGCCACAUGAACUAGAGACUUACAUCAUCCUGAGACCAGAAGAACUAGGUGGUGCCCGGCCACAAUCGAUGACUACCCUGACAGGGAGAACAACAGAGAACCCCUGAGGGAGCAGGAGAACAGUGGGAUGCAGACCCCAAAUUCUCAUAAAAAGACCAGACUUAAUGGUCUGACUGAGACUAGAGGAAUCUUGGCGGUCAUGGUCCCCAAACCUUCUGUUGGCCCAGGACAGGAACCAUUCCCAAAGACAACUCAUCAGACAUGGAAAGGACUGGACAAUGGGUUGGAGAGAGAUGCUGACGAAGAGUGAGCUACUUGUAUCAGGUGGACACUUGAGACCGUGUUGGCAUCUCCUGUCUGGAGGGGAGAUAGGAGGGUAGAGAGGGUUAGAAACUGGCAAAACGGUCAUGAAAGGAGAGACUGGAAGAAGGGAGCAGGCUGACUCAUUAGGAGGGAGAGUAAGAGGGAGUAUGGAGUAAGGUGUAUAUAAGCUUAUAUGUGACAGACUGACUUGAUUUGUAAACUUUCACUUAAAAAAAAUAAAGCACAAUAAAAAUUAUUAAAAAAAAAAAAAAAAA